GACGAACGCUGGCGGCGUGCUUAACACAUGCAAGUCGAACGGUAAGGCCCUUCGGGGUACACGAGUGGCGAACGGGUGAGUAACACGUGGGUGAUCUGCCCUGCACUUCGGGAUAAGCCUGGGAAACUGGGUCUAAUACCGGAUAGGACCACUGCCUGCAUGGGUGGUGGUGGAAAGCUUUUGCGGUGUGGGAUGGGCCCGCGGCCUAUCAGCUUGUUGGUGGGGUGAUGGCCUACCAGGGCGACGACGGGUAGCCGGCCUGGGAGGGUGACCGGCCACGCUGGGACUGGGAUACGGCCCAGACUCCUACGGGAGGCAGGAGUGGGGAAUAUUGCACAAUGGGCGCAAGCCUGAUGCAGCGACGCCGCGUGAGGGAUGACGGCCUUCGGGUUGUAAACCUCUUUCAGCACCGACGAAGCGCAAGUGACGGUAGGUGCAGAAGAAGGACCGGCCAACUACGUGCCAGCCGCCGCCGUAA
rnacentral:rRNA from 1 species